rnacentral:rRNA from 1 species
AUUGAACGCUGGCGGCAGGCUUAACACAUGCAAGUCGAGCGAGCGGCGGACGGGUGAGUAAUGUCUGGGAAACUGCCUGAUGGAGGGGGAUAACUCCUGGAACCGGUAGCUAAUACCGCAUCCCAUCAGAUGUGCCCAGAUGGGCUUAGCUAGUAGGUGGGGUAAUGGCUCACCUCGGCGACGAUCCCUACCUGGUCUGAGAGUAUGAUAAGCCACACUGGAACUGAGACACGGUCCCGACUCCUACGGGAGGCAGCAGGGGGGGAUAGUGCACAAUGGGCGCAAGCCUGAUGCAGCCAUGCCGCGUGUGUGAAGAAGGCCUUAGGGUUGUAAAGCACUUUCAGCGAGGAGGCGUUACUCGCAGAAGAAGCACCGGCUAACUCCGUGCCAGCAGCCGCGGUAAUUC